GUGAUCCAUCAAAUGAAACACAUAAAGAGACCGCAGCGGUCCCACAGCCCUUACACUUGCCCGUUCACCACCAUAAAUUCCACAAAAACAUUUGAUUACGUCCCUGCCCUUUGUACACACCGCCCGUCGCUGCCCGGGACUGAGCCAUUUCGAGAAAUUUGGGGACCGUUAAUUAAACAUUUAUUUGUUUUUUUGAUGGAAACCAAUUUAAUCGCAGUGGCUUGAACCGGGCAAAAGUCGUAACAAGGUAGCUGUAGGUGAACCUGCUGCUGGAUCAUUA
rnacentral:rRNA from 1 species